UUUAGGUAGAGAAUACCAAGGCGAUCGAGAGAACUGUGGUUAAGGAACUCGGCAAAAUGCCCCCGUAACUUCGGGAGAAGGGGGACCAUGCCCGGUGAACAUCUUCACGGUGGGAGCUGGGUGUGGUCGCAGAGACCAGAGAGAAGCGACUGUUUACUAAAAACACAGGUCCGUGCGAAGACGUAAGUCGAUGUAUACGGACUGACGCCUGCCCGGUGCUGGAAGGUUAAGAGGACCGGUUAGCCGUAAGGCGAAGCUGAGAAUUUAAGCCCCAGUAAACGGCGGUGGUAACUAUAACCAUCCUAAGGUAGCGAAAUUCCUUGUCGGGUAAGUUCCGAUCUGCACGAAUGGCGUAACGACUUCUCUGCUGUCUCGACCACAGACUCGGCGAAAUUGCACUACGAGUAAAGAUGCUCGUUACGCGCGGCAGGACGAAAAGACCCCGGGACCUUUACUAUAGCUUGGUAUUGGCGUUCGAUUCGGUUUGUGUAGGAUAGGUGGGAGACUGUGAAGCAUGCACGCCAGUGUGUGUGGAGUCGUUGUUGAAGUACCACUCUGAUCGUAUUGGACGUCUAACCUCGGCCCAUGAUCUGGGUUAGGGACAGUGCCUGGUGUGUAGUUUAACUGGGGCGGUUGCCUCCUAAAGAGUAACGGAGGCGCCCAAAGGUUCCCUCAGCCUGGAUGGCAAUCAGGUGUUGAGUGCAAGUGCACAAGGGAGCUUGACUGUGAGACUGACACGUCGAGCAGGGACGAAAGUCGGGACUAGUGAUCCGGCACCGGCAAGUGGAAGCGGUGUCGCUCAACGGAUAAAAGGUACCCCGGGGAUAACAGGCUGAUCUUCCCCAAGAGUCCAUAUCGACGGGAUGGUUUGGCACCUCGAUGUCGGCUCGUCGCAUCCUGGGGCUGGAGUAGGUCCCAAGGGUUGGGCUGUUCGCCCAUUAAAGCGGCACGCGAGCUGGGUUUAGAACGUCGUGAGACAGUUCGGUCUCUAUCCGCCGCGCGCGUAAGAAACUUGAGGAAGGCUGUCCCUAGUACGAGAGGACCGGGACGGACGAACCUCUGGUGUGCCAGUUGUUCCACCAGGAGCAUGGCUGGUUAGCUACGUUCGGAAGGGAUAACCGCUGAAAGCAUCUAAGCGGGAAGCCUGUUCCAAGAUGAGGUUUCUCACCACCUUGCGUGGUUAAGGCCCCCUACAGACCAUGGGGUUGAUAGGCCGGAACUGGAAGCGCAGCAAUGCGUGGAGGUGACCGGUACUAAUAGGCCGAGGGCU
rnacentral:rRNA from 1 species